rnacentral:rRNA from 1 species
UACGAAGGGGGCUAGCGUUGCUCGGAAUUACUGGGCGUAAAGGGAGCGUAGGCGGACAUUUAAGUCAGGGGUGAAAUCCCGGGGCUCAACCUCGGAAUUGCCUUUGAUACUGGGUGUCUUGAGUAUGAGAGAGGUGUGUGGAACUCCGAGUGUAGAGGUGAAAUUCGUAGAUAUUCGGAAGAACACCAGUGGCGAAGGCGACGCACUGGCUCAUUACUGACGCUGAGGCUCGAAAGCGUGGGGAGCAAACAGGAUUAGAUACCCCGGUAGGUCCCUCGA